AACGCUGGCGGCGCGUUUUAAGCAUGCAAGUCGAGCGGCAAGGGCCUUCGGGCCCCUAGAGCGGCGGACGGGUGAGUAACACGUGGACAAUCUCGCCCCCCGGCCCGGGAUAGCCCAGGGAAACCUGGAUUAAUACCGGAUGAGACGGGACCCGCGAUGGCGGGACCCGGGAAAGGCGCUGCGGCGCCGCCGGGGGAUGAGUCUGCGUCCCAUUAGCUAGACGGCGGGGUAACGGCCCACCGUGGCGACGAUGGGUAGCCGGCCUGAGAGGGUGGACGGCCACAUUGGAACUGAGACACGGUCCAGACUCCUACGGGAGGCAGCAGCUAAGAAUCUUCCGCAAUGGGCGAAAGCCUGACGGAGCGACGCCGCGUGAACGAAGAAGGCCGUGAGGUUGUAAAGUUCUUUCGGGAGGGGGAACAACCGUGGCAGGGAAUGGCCGCGGGAUGACGUGAAUCCCGGAAUAAGCCCCGGCUAACUACGUGCCAGCAGCAGC
rnacentral:rRNA from 1 species